GUGUCUGUGUCCGCCGUCUGUGCGUGUCAGGUGCACAUGGUUGCUUUCGGGGGGCCAGUUCAUCAGGCCCGCUCUGCCUGUCAGCCCCCUCUUCCUUUGAGACCACACGGCUGCCCUGCCCCCUCCGCACAGAUACACCCAUGGGGUGACGGCCACAGGGAGCUUCAGGGGACGCAUGCGCCCCAGGGAGCCACCCAAAGACACAGUGUUCACAACGGGGUUUCCAAUAAUGUUUUAAAUAGCCACACUUGUUUUGUUUGCUUUCUUCCAGGAAGGCUGCACUGUUCUGGAAAAGGAGGGGGAGGCAAGAAAAAUGUGAGUUCAUUUCCUGAGUCUUUUAAAUCUUUCUCCGUAGACGGAGCACUGAGGAGCCGUGGCCGGAGGGCAGAGCGGCCUCAGGCUCGCAGCACACAUGGAAGGAGGUUCGGAACUUGUCCCCGCCGUGUGCUCUUUCCAGGCCAUUGCAGGACGCUGGAUUUAGCGAUGAGACCGCACUGAAGGAUCCGGAUGCACGUGGGCUCUCCACCUCCCUCCCAAGAAAAUGGUUUGAAGGCCGGCUGCUUUCACAAUGGGUUUUUCCCGUUUGCCCAGGCAAGGUUGGACUGUGAAAUCAGUUCAUCCGAAAGAGAGGGCAGAAAAUGGAUCCGAUGCCGGAUUACCGGGGACACGGGAGAGUUUGGAAGGAGCCAACGCUUGUCAGAGUGUCUUUCCACACACAUUAUUUUACCCACUUCUCAGAGCAACCCCGUGAAGCACAUGGCGGUGUGCCCGUUCCACAGGCGACGCUCUGGGGGUGAAGCGGCAAAUCCAAGGGCACCUCACCUCCCCUGCAGACAAAUCGUCUUUCCUGUCGUGAGCUACCUCGCCAAUCUGUCCCUCCCCUUCGUGGCUGCAGUCAGCAUCUUACGCCAAAGUUCUUCGUGGGAUGGGCUGGCCCACAUCCAUCUGCCUGUCUCCCCAGCCAGGAUGAAGACACCAUGAAGAUGGGGACUUUCCUUGCUCACAGAUGUGUGUGGUGGCCCGUCACGACCUUGAGCACAGUAGCUCUGUAGUAUGUAUCUGUCCUACGAAGGAAGGACUAAAUGAACGAAAGAGUCCCGCCCCCGAAGGAGGAAAGGGGGUCCAAAUCAGAAGCAUGGCGAUCUCUGGCGGGCCAGCUGAGAUGCUACAAGGGUCAUUCUGAAGCCAGUGGCACAGGAUGCCCCAAGCUGAGCAAACCAUGACCUGGAGGGCCCAGCUGUCAGGCAGUGGAGUGGCCUUUGCACCUGGCAUCCGGGCACCGCGGGCCCAUGCACAGCACAUGCGGCCAGAGCACCCUUUAGACAGAUGCACCCUCAGGAACCGAGAGAGCCCUGCUUUUCCCUGGAAGUGGCCUGGCAAGUCAGGGGCAGGGUCUGGCAUCAGACCUGUCAGUCCUUCCCAGAAAUUCCGAGCGGCCCAUGGAUUAAAGCGAGGACCAGCUUUUGGAACAACGGUCCCCGUUCUGGUUUUGCCUCACAGAGAUGAUGCCUGGCCUCACAGUUUGGGAGCCUGGCCCCUGAGUAAGUCUCCCUAAUCCUCACUGUGUCUUCCCCCUGCUCUCCUCUGAGACCCCAAGGUGGCUUCAGUGGACGGUCAGACAGAGGAAAGUGCAGCAGACGGAAGGCCGCACAGAAGACAGGCCUGGAAAGAGGAGGCUCCCCCACCCCCGGCGGUCGUGCCUCCCUGCAGGCUGAUUUUGCUCUGACAGCCUUGUGGGUGUUUGUCUUUGAUCUUGGUUGUCAGCACAAGCAUGUGUAAGUGCUGACUGUGCCUGGCCUUGCCUUCAACACCACAACUGCUGGGGACACCCAGGGCCCUGCCCUCAGAAGGUGCCCAGUCCCAAACGACGCCAGGCAGCAAACCAAGCCCCCCACCCCCCGCCCCCAGAGCCCAGAGGCACGAUCCAGGCUGCCUGCCACUCAGGGUCCGCUGCCCCUCUGGGCAGAUGUGAAGAAGCUAGGCGCUCCCAGCCUCAAAGGGCUAAUUCCUCCCUUUUGGACUCUUAGUUUCUGGUUCUGCUGGGUCACGGUUUAUGAGGAAGUAGAUCCCGUCAUCUCUAGGACAGCAAAUGGGGGACUUGUAACAAAUCACCCGUAACGAGACCACAUUCUGUUCCGGGUCACACAGAGUAAACAUUAGAAACCAGACUCGGCACAUCUACUUUCUUCUGAUAGGUGGCCCUUUGGAGCUGUGGCAAAAAUGACCACUCUGGGGCCCAGAGGGCCAGGACCGCCUGCGGGCACAGUGUGUAAUGCACAGCAGAGGAGACCUGGGGACACCGGCACUCACUCCUGGACCGUGCCUUCCACGACAACUUCCCUCCAAAAGGCCAUUUGGCUACAACGUAUCAUAUGACUUGUUCUUAGAGUUACAUUUUAACUGACAAAGUUUAACAACAACUAUGACUUAUGGCCUUCUAAAAUUGGCAGCAGAAAAAUGAACUGAGGAAGUAAUGGAAAAAAACCACAAGUGAAGCCACUCUGUAUUAUGCACAAUUUCUGUUGUGCUUUUUUUUCCCUUCCCAAGCAUGUGUGUGUGUGUGUGUGUGUGUGUGAGUGCGUGCGCGCGUGUGUGUGCGUGCAUGCGCAUGCCCAUGUGUGUGUCUGUGUGUGUGUUUUCGAAGGGUAGCAAAUAUUUUCCAGAUACACUGUCCUGGCGUUCCCAAGCACAUAUUUAUGCCAAGUUUAUAAAAAGCAGCUGCAGACAGGGUUGACUGAAAGGAUUGCUCUGCUGUCUGGCUUCCAGAAGGUGCUUCGGUUCUUACUCUGUCACCAGGGCAGCCUUACCUCCCAAAACUCUCUGACCCGCGCUGCGCGUCUGGAAGAGGACAAACCGGCGGCACAGAGUGACCUGGACGAGCGCUCGCCCCUGGCUCUUCUGACCUUCCGCAUCACGCAUCUGGUCCACAAGUAUUGUGGUGACUUUUCAGAUACCUGUCCAGACCAUGACUCUCAGAACUGGUGGCCAUGCCGGCAGAGUUAAGGCCCCAACAUGGUGUUUAUACUUCAUGACCCCAGACCCAGACUACAGUUGAGUACACAAGAGAUGGACAGCUGCCCAGAAACAGAGUGCUAGCAGGGGAGGAGCAAAGAGGGAGACACAGAAUCCGAAGCAGUGUCCAGGCUCUGAGCUGUCAGCACAGAGCCUGACACGGGGCUCGAACUCACGAACCAUGAGAUCAUGACUGGAGACGAAGUUGAAUGCUUAUCUGACCAAACCACCCAGGCGCCCCAGCCCCUGCGGACAAGACCAUCUAAACACUUCUUCCCAGAUCUGAGAAACAAUAAGAUCACCCAACCCAGUGCAACAAACCUCAUCUCCCAGAGCCACAUUCUGUUUUUGAAAAUAAAGGGAAGUUUCUAAACAGACCAUGUUACCUUAUGAAUUAAAAUGUUUAAUAGACUAGCCAUAUAAUGGAUCAGUAAAUAUUCACAUUACUAUCAUUUCUAUUACUGGUGUGUUCAAAACUUAUUUACAAAUCAAUCAUACUUUCUUGUUGCUAUAAAUUUUAACUUCAAAAACAUUUUCUUGUUCGUAUCUACUUGGACCUCAUUUAUCAAUAAUACUUUUUUUUUUA